AAGACAUCUUUUACAUGGAAAGAGGGUGAACAAAAAAUUCGGUUUCGGGAAACGCCUUUAAGUCUACGAUAUUAUGGUGCUCUUCGACAAAUUGAACAAUUUAAAAAUACCUCUAUUAAAGAGUUUGAAGUGGAAAUGGCCAAAGUAAUAAAAAAUGCACAACAGCGUCACUACAUGGUUCAACAUAGAGUAAUGCAAGUAAGCUCCAGUGCUUUGCAACGAUCUAAAAUGGAAGAGGAGCUUGCGGCUAACUAUGCGUCAGCUGCCGCUCGUAAUCGACAGUAAUCGAGUAAUUAUCCUAACCCUUCGUAUGAUAUAAGCUAAUUAAUAUAAUACGUAUACAUAUAAUAUAAUACAUAUACUUUAUUUAUGUCAUUAAUAAUAUUUAUUGUGAUAUAAAUAAAUAACUGUAAUAAACAUCUGCACAUCUAACAUGAAAUAUAUAUACAAAUUGUGAUAAAAUAAAA
rnacentral:lncRNA from 13 species